rnacentral:rRNA from 1 species
UACGGAGGGGGCUAGCGUUGUUCGGAAUUACUGGGCGUAAAGCGCACGUAGGCGGCUUUGCAAGUUAGAGGUGAAAGCCCGGAGCUCAACUCCGGAAUUGCCUUUAAAACUGCAUCGCUAGAAUUGUGGAGAGGUAAGUGGAAUUCCGAGUGUAGAGGUGAAAUUCGUAGAUAUUCGGAAGAACACCAGUGGCGAAGGCGGCUCACUGGACUGGUAUUGACGCUGAGGUGCGAAAGCGUGGGGAGCAAACAGG